AAAGUACUCCCUCCGUACCAAAAUUCUUGUCUUAGAUUUGUCUAGAUACAGAUGUAUCAAGUCACAUUUUAGUAUUAGAUACAUCCGUAUCUAGACAAAUCUAAGACAAGAAAUUUGGGACAGAGGGAGUAGUUG
rfam:Triticum aestivum genome assembly, contig: Triticum_aestivum_CS42_TGACv1_scaffold_026375_1AS